rnacentral:rRNA from 1 species
AUUGAACGCUGGCGGCAGGCCUAACACAUGCAAGUCGAGGGGUAGCAGGAUUAAGCUUGCUUAAUUGCUGACGACCGGCGCACGGGUGCGUAACGCGUAUGCAACCUACCUUAUACUGGGGUAUAGCCCGGAGAAAUUCGGAUUAAUCCCCCAUAGUACUAAUGAAUCGCAUGGUUUAUUAGUUAAAGCAUUGCGGUAUAAGAUGGGCAUGCGUCCUAUUAGCUAGAUGGUGAGGUAACGGCUCACCAUGGCUACGAUAGGUAGGGGGCCUGGGAGGGUGGUCCCCCACACUGGUACUGAGACACGGACCAGACUCCUACGGGAGGCAGCAGUGAGGAAUAUUGGUCAAUGGGCGCAAGCCUGAACCAGCCAUGCCGCGUGCAGGAAGAAUGCCCUAUGGGUUGUAAACUGCUUUUAUUUGGGAAUAAACCUCUUUACGUGUAGAGAGCUGAAGGUACCAAAUGAGUAAGCACCGGCUAACUCCGUGCCAGCCGCCGCUGUAA